AGAAAAUAAGUUUCAAUAUUACCCUAUUAACAAAAUAAAAAAUUUGCAAAAAAAAUCGGAUGAGUACAAAAUGAAAAAAAAAAAAUCAUGGGAAAUGGUAACUUCGAGAAGUGGUUGCAUCCUGAUAUAGAUGGCAAAAAUCAAAAAACGAAUUCAAAACCUGCUUCAGAGAUUAAAUGUUGCGGUUGAUGUGGCGGCUGCUUUACAAUAUCUUCAUGAGCAAUGUAAAAUCCAAUAAUUCAUUGCGACUUGAAGCCCAGCAAUGUUCUUCUUGAAAGACUCAUGCAGAUCAUGGAACAAAACCUCCUCACAGAAGAAAUAGAAGAACGCAAAGCAGCAGCAAGAACAGCAACAGAAGAAGAAUCUAAGAAUG
rnacentral:misc_RNA from 1 species